UUGCAAUAUGCAGUGUACUAUAAAAGGAUGAACUGGAAUUAUUAUUAUUAUUAUUUACUAAUUAUAGGUUUUUGUCUAGAGUAGCUUACAACCCAACACAACAUAGUUGAGACUGAGCAUCUAAAAUCUGCUCAAUAAAUGAAGAGAAACAACAAACAUGUUUUAGGUAGGCUUUUAGUAUUUUAUGCAUAGAUCAAGGAUAAGACCAACCCUGGAAUCAUCAAUAGUAUUCACCACUCCUUCAAAAAUGUACCUUUAGUUAACUAGAAAUUAAGGACGGCCCUAGGUAAAACUAUGCUGUUUAUAAUGUGUACAUUCACAUACAGGUGUGAUGAGAUUUGAAACCUAUUUAAAUUAAAGCAAAGUGAUUGAUCUGUAUUUCUUCUUCCAGUAGGAUGAGCUGAGAGUAGAAGAAAGGAAAAUACUUUUUUGAAGCUCAACUUUGGGAAAACCAAGGACAUGUGGGGUCCUUCAAGACAUUAAAAAUUGUGUGAGAAGUUGCCAAAAUACAUCUCAUCAUUUUCCCUAGGACUGCCUGGGAGUCCAAUUAUUUCCUCUGUAUUUUAGGGACAAACAACAUAUUCACAGCUCCAUAUUGCUUUUUAAAAAGAGUGGGUCAUUAUUAGAGCAUUUCAGUCAUGCAAGGAGAGGAUGUUAAGGUAAAGGAAUGAAACCGAAGACCAGAAAGUGGUAAAAAGCAGCAGUGAAGAAACCAAAACUAAAACAAACCAGCAAAGACCAUAUUCAGCUCACAGCCUUUCAGGAACUGAAGUAGAUCAUUGGCCCAGACUCUCCACUGAAUCCGAAGAAUGCUUUGCAGGGGAUGUUCAGAGGCUUACCUGAGAAUGAGAGAAAAAG
rnacentral:lncRNA from 1 species